AAGCCUUGUAUAAACAAUAACGGACAGUAUUCUGUGUUAGAAAAAAUAUAUGUACUUCCAAUCGAAUCGUGCAAUUGCCUUGGUACACAGGUGCACAUUCUUUGAUGCCCGAAACGCAUUCCAAGCUCUAGAUAUCUGCCUUCAAUAAUGGCCUAUAAUCACAUUUGCCAAAAAACAGCUGCUUUGUAAUGCUGGUGUGUCCCACUUAGUUUGAUUAUCUUAGUGAAGCUGUAAUAUCGAACUCGAAGACCUGUUUCGUUAUUAUUUCUUGAAAUGCAGCUGAACCAGAAUUUCCUUUGGGACGAGAUGCUUUCCUGACAAACAUUAUUGUAUGCUGAUAUAAUAAUUAACAACCGAUCCUAUGGGCUGAAAUAUGUGUUAAAAGCUUGGAGCAAGACACAUUACGAUCGAUGGCGUUCGCUGACUGAUGCAUUGCUAUUUACUGCUGACUAGCUUAUCCUUUUGUUGCCUCUAUUCUGUGAUGAACACCAAUUAGAAUCAAUCGAUUUAAUUCACAGGAUAUUACGAUUGUUUACAAGGGCCCUAGCACCUGUAGUUUAAGUUAUUCGAUUCGAUUUUUAUUAAAUAACGCCAUUUUUCUUUUUCUGAUCUAUUAUUAGAGCUGUCAAUGUCUUCAUCUUAUAUUUACUGCUGCGAUGUUUUACUUUAUUUUAUAUAUCAGUUGAGACUAAUUAAUGAAUUUGAGGAAUUUACAAGUUUUAAAUUUUUGAUAAUAUUUGAUAUUUCGCCAUAUUUAUAAAUGUGUUAUCAGUAGUCAAUAACUACACGAUAUGUAAUGUAUUUGAUUUCUGUUUGUGUGUACAACCACUCCCGUGCAUAGUAAAGCAGGCGGAGACUUGCACGUGCACGUGUUAAGAAUUUGGAGCUAAAUUUCGAUCAUUUACUGUUGAGUUUAGAGUGUUCUACGAAAUAAUAGCAUGUAUCUUCGGUUGUGAUUUAAAUUUUAUGAUACGAU